AACGAACGCUGGCGGCGCGCCUAAUACAUGCAAGUCGAGCGAGAAGACGUAGCAAUACGUUUGUAAAGCGGCGAACGGGUGAGGAAUACAUGGGUAACCUACCCUCGAGUGGGGAAUAACUAGCCGAAAGGUUAGCUAAUACCGCGUACGCUCCUUGGACUUCGGUUCAGGGAGGAAAGCGAUACCGUGGGUAUCGCGCUCUUGGAUGGGCUCAUGUCCUAUCAGCUUGUUGGUGAGGUAACGGCUCACCAAGGCUUCGACGGGUAGCUGGUCUGAGAGGACGAUCAGCCACACUGGCACUGCGACACGGGCCAGACUCCUACGGGAGGCAGCAGUGGGGAAUCUUGCGCAAUGGGCGAAAGCCUGACGCAGCAACGCCGCGUGGGGGA
rnacentral:rRNA from 1 species